UUUUCUAUGUCUUUUGUAGCCAACCGCGCCACUGAUGGAGGAUCCACACUGGCACAAUUAGGUUCCACAGAGAGAUCUUUGCUAGAAGCUGCACAUGACAGGGAGAAAGAGUUACUUCAUGAAAUAACGGAGUUGCAGUGGAGGCUAGUAUGUGCUCAAGACGAACUCCAAAAAUAUAGAACAGAAAAUGCUCAGGUAUGAUUUCAUUAUUGAACUCGAAGCUGGGCGAAAUUGCAACAAUUUGUUACUCAAAACGAAGUUAAAAAGAGUGGAAGGAAAAUACAGAAUGAAGAAGAGAGACAUUAUUAAACAUUGUUAGCUCAUUAUUAUUUGUAGCAUAGAUUUGUUUUGUUAUGCAAUAGGCAGGAUAAACAAAACCCAUAUUAGUAUUACCCAACUUGUGCAGAUUAAGCAAUGAUACUAUAAGUUGUACAUGAAUAAUAUUAUCCUUUCCAAGCCAGCUUGGGAGUUGUAAAUAUGACCUUUAAGCUUAAUAGUAGGCAUAUUCUCUA